UUCUUGUUUUCCAUUUGGGAAGUAAAAGUCGUAACAAGGUUUCCGUAGGUGAACCUGCGGAAGGAUCAUUACCGAGACGUGCGGACGCCCGCUCCGGCGGGGUCGGCGCCUCCUCACCCUGUGUGUACCGCCCGCGCGGCACCCCCGCGCGCGCCGGUUGCUUCGGCGGGCUUCAGGGCCCGCCGGCGGACCCGUCCAAACUCACGUGCGAACGACCGUGCCGUCUGAGCUUAUGCGUGAAUCGAACAAAACUUUCAACAACGGAUCUCUUGGUUCUGGCAUCGAUGAAGAACGCAGCGAAAUGCGAUAAGUAAUGUGAAUUGCAGAAUUCAGUGAAUCAUCGAAUCUUUGAACGCACAUUGCGCCCCCUGGCAUUCCGGGGGGCAUACCUGUUCGAGCGUCAUGAACACCCCUCGAGCCGCGUGGCUUGGUGUUGGGCCGCCGCCCGCGACGGGCGGGCCCGAAAGUCAGUGGCGGCGCGGCUGGAUCCUCGAGCGUAGUAACUGUUUUCGCCGCUUUGGAGGACCCGACCGCUCCCGCCAGACAACCCCCGUCUCGCACCCGUUCGACCUCGGAUCAGGUAGGGAUACCCGCUGAACU
rnacentral:rRNA from 1 species